GUGUUCGCUUUGGCAGCACAUAUACUAAAAUUGGAACGAUACAGAGAAGAUUAGCAUGGCCCCUGCACAAGGAUGACACGCAAAUUCGUGAAGCAUUCCAUAUUUAA
rnacentral:snRNA from 1 species